rnacentral:lncRNA from 1 species
UGGCGCUGAAGGUAGCGACCGUCGCCGGCAGCGCCGCGAAGGCGGUGCUCGGGCCAGCCCUUCUCUGCCGUCCCUGGGAGGUUCUAGGCGCCCACGAGGUCCCCUCGAGGAACAUCUUUUCAGAACAAACAAUUCCUCCGUCCGCUAAGUAUGGCGGGCGGCACACGGUGACCAUGAUCCCAGGGGAUGGCAUCGGGCCAGAGCUCAUGCUGCAUGUCAAGUCCGUCUUCAGGUAUGGAGCUCCUGGGUCCCCGCCUUGUCCUCAGCCAGGGGGCCCUGAGGACUUUGUGCCAAGAGGGGCAUUGCGCCCAGAAGCACUCGGUGAGGCCAUGGCAAGACGACCUGUAAGCCCAGGCCUUGCGUCCCAUGGCCUGUGAUCCCGCCAGACUGGCCUGGGCUCGGGGAAGGUGGCACCAGUCCUGCCACAGUGUGCAUUGUGGAGUUCAAGCGUGUCCCCAUCAGUCAGUGAAGGUGGGCCCAGUCCCUUCUCAGUCAGAGCCAGGUCAGGGCAGGUAGCAACAGGAGAGAGGUAGCCUGGGCAGGCUUCCUGGAGGAGGUGCGGGGGGGUCUGGGCCAGCCUCCCUGACCC